CUGAAGACAGGGUACAGACAGAGAGAAGAGGCAGGACCUGGUUCUGGGCACAAGGAGUCCGGGAGCUGAGGGAUCAACACAAACCUCCCAAAGGACUAGGCAGAAGAGCAUUCUCGAGAGUGUGUCCUGGACACCAAGCCAAGAACUUCACAAAAGAGGGAGUGGCCAGUUUCGUCAAAUGGUCCAGUCUUAGGAGGCCUGAGCUCUGCGGCCCCUCGAGGUGGCUCAGUGGUAAAGAAUCUGCCUGCCAAUGCAGGAGAUGCGGGUUCAAUCCCUGGGUGGGGAAGAUCCCCUGGAGGGGGAAAUGGCAACCCACUCCAGUAUUCUUGCCUGAAAAAAAAAUCCCAUUGACAGAGGAGCCUGGAGGUCUACAGUCUAUAGGCGCAACAAAAGAGUCAGGUACAACUGAGCAUGCACACACUUUUAUUUUUGCCUCAGCUAUCAUGGAGAGAUGUCUAUGAUCAAUUAACCAAAAAGGGGGAAAAAUUCCUAGAUUUCAAAAGGCCGUGCACAAAACAGAGGCAUUUUCAAAAUUUAGCUUUCCAUCCAUGAAACUCUGGGUGCUAUUGGUUUGGUUGUCCUAGUAACCAAGGUUGGAAUGCUUCAGAAGAUACAACAAUGGGGUCAUUGAUUAGUAAACUGACAAUACCACCCCACCAACUCAAGCUCUUCAUGCACUAAGUAAACAGGCAAUAAAGGGAAUUAUGGUGUUGACUUUUGAGAUUGAUCUUGACUGUCAAGCGGGAUUAGAAUUGCUGCUGCACAAAUGGGAAAAGUAAGAAAUAUUGAUGGAACGCAAAGAAUGUCCUGGAGUGUUUCCUGGUCUGAUUUGUUCAUUGAAGAAAUUAAUUGGAAGACCAUGGCAUCUAUGUAGAAAAGCAAACAAAGUCAGAUUUCUCAAGAAAGAAGAUUUGGGACACCACACCAGUCACGUUCAUCAACCCCAGACUCAGGAGUCAGUAUCAGAAAGAAGCAAAGAUCACCAGAAUCCUCCCAGGUGAUUGUGGCAGCUGAAACACAGAGAAUACCCAAGGCAAGUAUGGCAGUGAUGUCAGCAGGAGAGGACGAGUGCUGGUAUGGGAUCAGCAUGGAAGAUCUUGAUGUCACUUCAUUGUCAUCACUGGAGAGUUUCUACAGUUUUCUUUGGAUGCAUUCUGCAACUGUUCAGACUCCACAUAGUUCAACAGCAGGCUCUCAGACCUCCCCACUAUGCUAAAUAUAAGGGACACCCAGCCUCACAGUGACAGCGGAGGCAAAGCCUUGAGGGGCAUGAGAACCCAGGAGCAAAUCAAAGGUCUAUGAAAUUUGGACUGGACUUAAGUGGUCACUGUGAAAAGAACUAAAACCAGGUAAAUCUCAUGAAUACAGGUCACCAACCCUGAAAAUCUCUGGAAGUCAGAAAAG
ensembl:lncRNA